rnacentral:rRNA from 1 species
GAUGAACGCUGGCGGCGUGCCUAAUACAUGCAAGUCGAGCGAACGGACGAGAAGCUUGCUUCUCUGAUGUUAGCGGCGGACGGGUGAGUAACACGUGGAUAACCUACCUAUAAGACUGGGAUAACUUCGGGAAACCGUAGCUAAUACCGGAUAAUAUUUUGAACCGCAUGGUUCAAAAGUGAAAGACGGUCUUGCUGUCCCUUAUAGAUGGAUCCGCGCUGCUUUAGCUAGUUGGUAAGGUAACGGCUUACCAAGGCAACGAUGCAUAGCCGACCUGAGAGGGUGCGCGGCCACACUGGAACUGAGACACGGUCCAGACUCCUAGGGGAGGCAGCAGUAGGGAAUCUUCCGCAAGGGGCGAAAGCCUGACGGAGCAACGCCGCGUGAGUGAUGAAGGUCUUCGGAUCGUAAAACUCUGUUAUGAGGGAAGAACAUAUGUGUAAGUAACUGUGCACAUCUUGACGGUACCUAAUCAGAAAGCCACGGCUAACUACGU